GAGUGGGGGAGGAGAGAAUAUGGAAGGGAAGGAUUAGGUGGGGGUGCAGAGGCACAUCUAUGCCCAACCCCUCCUUCUCUCAUUUCCACAUUAGACUCCCCAGGUGACACAAGAAACUGUGGGGCCGGCACGUAAUCUGGUCUCCAAGGGGAGAAGAAAAUGUUGAAGAACUUUCAAAAGACAUUAAAUUUGUGUUGAAUGCCUUUCUUCCUCUCUGAAUCCUGGCCUAUCUCCCAGCCUCCCCCCAAGUGGAGAUAUUUUAUGGGCAAACAGAAAUAAAUUAAGGCCAGCACAGAAAAUAGGGAGAAAAGGGGUAGGGGAUAGGGAAGUUAAAAGAGGAGGAGGGGCCCAUUCCUUUUCCUACCCCACCCACCCAGCCACCCCCAGGAAGCCCCAGAACCAUUCCAACUUCUGCAAACCUUCAGUUCCUCCCAGAGCUUACCACCAGGAGAACUAGGUGAGAAAAUGGAGGCUGAAGUUAGAAGAAACACUACAGCAGCUAUCCCACAUUAGACAGUCUGACUCCAGAGACCAAGAUGUUGACCAUGGCACUAUACUGCCUCUGGGAAAUUCAAAGGUGCUGGAGAUCUAGGGGAGAGAGGAUGCAACUUUUAGGAAGAUCAGUCUGGUGGUUUGUGAAGAUUGCAUUGUCCGGAGACUGGCUGCAGGGAAGCUAAGAGGCCGCUGUCCUGCCCAGAGAAGAGGUGGGCCUAUCUGGCCUGAGACGGAUACAAAUGUGAUGAACGCAGAAAGGAGAAUGUGAACCACCGUCAUUCAGCAAAAAAUGUUUGACACUUUCUAUGGGCCAUCCUGGAGGUAUAAAGUCAGUAAGACUUGGUGGGGGAGGGGGAAGCUCCUGGUCACGUUGAGUCCAACUAGUAAGACCACACUGCCAGUACUCUAGGAAGCACAGAUGCAGGCUCUAUUACACCUGGCUUGAUGACAAGAGAUUGACAUGGCAGGAGGGUGCGGAAGUGCCAAGAAAGCCUUCACCUGGAAGAUGAUGUUUAGCUGGGCUGGGAAGAAUAAGCCAGAUUUUGCCAGGCAGAGAAGAAAUACAACACAAAAGCAGAGGAUCAAAAUUAAUUGGGAGGAUAGGCAAGCAUUAAAGAUAGAAAUUUUAAAAUUGAA